rnacentral:rRNA from 1 species
UACGUAGGGUGCAAGCGUUAAUCGGAAUUACUGGGCGUAAAGCGUGCGCAGGCGGCUUUGCAAGACAGAUGUGAAAUCCCCGGGCUUAACCUGGGAACUGCAUUUGCGACUGCAUGGCUAGAGUGCGGCAGAGGGGGAUGGAAUUCCGCGUGUAGCAGUGAAAUGCGUAGAUAUGCGGAGGAACACCGAUGGCGAAGGCAAUCCCCUGGGCCUGCACUGACGCUCAUGCACGAAAGCGUGGGGAGCAAACAGG